UACGUAGGGCGCGAGCGUUGUCCGGAAUUAUUGGCGUAAAGAGCUCGUAGGCGGCCUGUUACGUCUGCUGUGAAAUCCCGGGGCUUAACCCCGGGCGUGCAGUGGAUACGGGCAGGCUGGAGGCAGGCAGGGGAGAACGGAAUUCCCGGUGGUAGCGGUGAAAUGCGCAGAUAUCGGGAGGAACACCGGUGGCGAAGGCGGUUCUCUGGGCCUGUACUGACGCUGAGGAGCGAAAGCGUGGGGAGCGAACAGG
rnacentral:rRNA from 1 species